rnacentral:sRNA from 1 species
UUGCAUUAAAUUUAUGGUAGCACCUGAGC